GAAUAUGAAGCGAUUUAUUGCAAUUAGUUUCGACCUAAUUUUAGGUAAUUUU
rnacentral:tRNA from 1 species